CAGGACUCCCACGUCUGCACACUCACUGGGCAGGACUGAACACAGACCACUCACCAUGGAGUCUGGGCUGAGCUGACUUCUCCUCAUUGCUCUGUUACAAGGUGUCCAGUGUGAAGUGAAGCUGGUGGAGUCUGGGGGAGGUUUGGUCCAGCCUGGGGGGUCCCUGAGACUCUCCUGCAAAGCGUC